CCCGCUAAAUUUAAGCAUAUCAAUAAGCGGUGGAAAAGAAACGAAAACGAAUUCUCCGAGUAGCGGCGAGCGAAACGAGAGCAGUCCAUACACCGAAGUCGGCGAGCAGUUGUGUUCGUCAACAGUGUGGUGUUAAAGGUGUCGUUGCAUGUGCUGAAAUCAGUUCGUAGGCUCCCUUGAUUGGGGCUUCAGAGCGGGUGCAGGACCCAUAACGAACGAUGUUUUGUGCAUGGUGUCGCGGCUCCUAAUCGAGUCGGGUUGCUUGAGACUGCAGCCCAAAGCGGGUGGUAAAUCUCACCCAAGACUAAAUAUUCGUACGAGACCGAUAGCGAACAAGUACCGCGAGGGAAAGUUGAAAAGAACUCUGAAGAGAGAGUUCAACAGGACGUGAAACCGUUGACAGGCAAACGGAUGGAGCUGACGGUGCAAUUUUGACCAAAAUCAGUCGUCGCUGUGUUCGUUGGCGAAUGAAUCUUUUGCAAACUUGUUUGUGUAGAUUAUCUUUCGUUUCGAAUGUACGCACGGUGCACUUUUGGUCGAUUAGCGUCACGAGCAACGUUCGCAUUUUUUGCUGCCGACAGUAAUUGUGUUUGUUGUUUUAAAAGCAACAAACAAUAAAGGCGGUUUGUGGAAGAGGUAAUUGUGGUAAAGACUUGUGCUUUUGUCUCAAUUGCCGUGCCAAUGCCGCAUCUCUCGGAUGAAUGUUGUUGUUGACAAGUUGAAGAGCAUUGUUCUGCGUACAAUUGUAAUGGGUCUGUUGGUGCCGUUGCGUUCGUGGGUUUCGGCUCACGAUUUGUCUGGUACGUCGGGAAAAAAGUCAAUUAUGAAUGUAAUUGAUCUGACUACCGUGCGUAACGGUAUUCAAAUGUGUGUUUGAUGGACUUUAUUUGCAAUCGGCGCUCAAUGUGUUUUCUUUUAUCGGUGGCGUCAAUGUUAGCCUCCCAUCCGACCCGUCUUGAAACACGGACCAAGGAGUUCAGUAGGCACGCGAGUCGUUGACGUUUUUCAUUGAACAGUCGAAGGCGAAAUGAAAGUGUUCAUGAAAAUGAACAGUACUUUUUUAUGGAGUGCUGCUCGCUUUUAACAUGAUCGUCCUUUUUUGUGCUUAAUUGUGCAAAAUUGAUAUAUGGGGACGCGCAGUGUGGUGCCGUUGAAUACUCGCACUGUUCUUUCUUUCUCUUCGGGGUUGGAGGAACAAUUGUCGAUCAGUCGGUUUCGGAGCGUGCACACUGGUACCCGAAAGAUGGUGAACUAUGCUUGAGCAGAAUGAAGCCAGAGGAAACUCUGGUGGAAGUUCGUAGCGGUGUUGACGUGCAAAUCACUCGUCUGACUUGAGUGUAGGGGCGAAAGACUAAUCGAACCAUCUAGUUGCUGGUUCCUUCCGAAGUUUCCCUCAGGAUAGCUGGCAUUUGUUUGUAACAAUUUUAUCCGGUAGAGCGAAUGAUUAGAGGUGUUGGGAACGCAAUGUUCUCAGCCUAUUCUCAAACUUCGAAUGGGUAAGCAAGGCGUUUUGCUUUGAUUUUACGAUGAAAUCGCCCAAUUAGAAUGCAUAAAUGCCUAGUGGGCCAAUUUUGGUAAGCAGAACUGGCGAUGUGGAAUGAACCAAAAGUCAGGUUAAGGUGCCAGACAUUGGCGCUCAUGAAAUACCAGAAAAGGUGUUGGUCGAUAUAGACAGCAGGACGGUGGCCAUGGAAGUUGGAAUCCGCCAAGGAGUGUGUAACAACUCACCUGCCGAAUCGACUAGCCCUGAAAAUGGAUAGCGUUUGAGCGCCAGGCCCAUACCUGACCGUCUCAAUUACGCACUUUUUUUUCGGAAAAGGUGUAAUGAACGUUGAGACGGGUAGGAAGGUCGCGACAGUGUUGCUUUGAAGAGUUUUGAGCGUGAGCUCGCUCGGAGCCGCUGUUGGUGCAGAUCUUGGUGGUAGUAGCAAAUAUUCAAGUGAGAACCUUGAAGGCUGAAGUGGAGCAAGGUUCCAUGUGAACAGCAGUUGGACAUGGGUCAGUCGAUCCUAAGAAAACGGCGAAAGCUUGUUCGAAUUUGCGACAUGAAUUGUAAGACUGUGUGUUUAUUGUGUGUGUGCAGUUGUCGUAUGUUUUCGAAAGGGAAUCCGGUUGAUAUUCCGGAACCGAGUAACGGAGACAAAGAGUAGCGCUUUAAUCUCUCUGUGGGGUUGGCGUUCAACUCAAUCGCGCGGUAACGCAAGCGAACUCGGAAAAUGACCGUCGUGAGUUUCGAAAAGAGUUUUCUUUUCUUUUUAAGGGACGCAUUCCCUGGAACCGGGUUGUCCGGAGAUAGGGAUUCUGGUAUCCAUAAAACGCCGACUUUUUCACGGUGUUCGGAGCGCUCUCGUCGGUACGUGAAAAUCCGAGCGACGCCUGGUAAAUCUCGUACUUGGUCGUACUGAUAUCCGCAGCAGGUCUCCAAGGUGAAUAGCCUCUGGCC
rfam:Trichinella murrelli scaffold419s, whole genome shotgun sequence.